UACGUAGGGAGCAAGCGUUGUCCGGAAUCAUUGGGCGUAAAGCGCGCGUAGGUGGCCUCAUAAGUCCGCUGUGAAAGUCAAAGGCUCAACCUUUGAAAGCCGGUGGAUACUGUGGGGCUAGAGUACGGAAGAGGCGAGUGGAAUUCCUGGUGUAGCGGUGAAAUGCGCAGAUAUCAGGAGGAACACCGGUGGCGAAGGCGGGUCUCUGGGCCGAUACUGACGCUGAGACGCGAAAGCGUGGGGAGCGAACAGG
rnacentral:rRNA from 1 species